rnacentral:rRNA from 1 species
GGUGGAGUGAUUUGUCUGGUUUAUUCCGAUAACGAGCGAGACUCUAACCUGCUAAAUAGUGACGGGAUAACUUUGUCCUUGUUACUUCUUAGAGGGAUUAGUGGUGUUUAGCCACACUAGAUUGAGCGAUAACAGGUCUGUGAUGCCCUUAGAUGUCCGGGGCUGCACGCGCGCUACACUGGCAAAAUCAACGUGCUUGUCCUUCCCCGAAAGGGGCGGGUAAACCAUUGAAAAUUUGCCGUGAUUGGGAUCGGAAAUUGCAAUUAUUUUCCGUGAACGAGGAAUUCCAAGUAAGUGCGAGUCAUCAGCUCGCGUUGAUUACGUCCCUGCCCUUUGUAC